UAGGGAAUCUUCGGCAAUGGACGAAAGUCUGACCGAGCAACGCCGCGUGAGUGAAGAAGGUUUUCGGAUCGUAAAACUCUGUUGUUAGAGAAGAACAAGGACGUUAGUAACUGAACGUCCCCUGACGGUAUCUAACCAGAAAGCCACGGCUAACUACGUGCCAGCAGCCGCGGUAAUACGUAGGUGGCAAGCGUUGUCCGGAUUUAUUGGGCGUAAAGCGAGCGCAGGCGGUUUCUUAAGUCUGAUGUGAAAGCCCCCGGCUCAACCGGGGAGGGUCAUUGGAAACUGGGAGACUUGAGUGCAGAAGAGGAGAGUGGAAUUCCAUGUGUGGCAGUGAAAUGAGUAGAUAUAUGGAGGAACACCAGUGGCGAAGGCGGCUCUCUGGUCUGUAACUGACGCUGAGGCUCGAAAGCGUGGGGAGCAAACAGG
rnacentral:rRNA from 1 species